GACGAACGCUGGCGGCGUGCUUAACACAUGCAAGUCGAACGGUAAGGCCCUUCGGGGUACACGAGUGGCGAACGGGUGAGUAACACGUGGGUGAUCUGCCCUGCACUUCGGGAUAAGCCUGGGAAACUGGGUCUAAUACCGGAUAGGACCACUGCCUGCAUGGGUGGUGGUGGAAAGCUUUUGCGGUGUGGGAUGGGCCCGCGGCCUAUCAGCUUGUUGGUGGGGGGAUGGCCUACCAAGGCGACGACGGGUAGCCGGCCUGAGAGGGUGACCGGCCACACUGGGACAGAGAUACGGCCCAGACUCCUACGGGAGGCAGCAGUGGGGAAUAUUGCACAAUGGGCGCAAGCCUGAUGCAGCGACGCCGCGUGAGGGAUGACGGCCUUCGGGUUGUAAACCUCUUUCAGCACCGACGAAGCGCAAGUGACGGUAGGUGCAGAAGAAGGACCGGCCAACUACGUGCCAGCCGCCGCGGUAA
rnacentral:rRNA from 1 species